CAGAAGACCACUCACAUGAUUUCUGCUGAAGGCGAUUAACGUCAUGACUUCUGUUAUGGGCAAUUUCAGUACAAGUGUACAUGGGACAAGAAAAGGAAGGUAUGGAGUAGCCCAUCUGUGACUGGCCCCCAAUGUGAUGGUUGUCAACCUACGUUCUCAGGACACAAAAUGAGACAAACAAGGGCAACAGCUGACCCUAGAAGAGAACAGAUCAACAACCAACAGGUAGAUCUAUGUCAGAAAAAGAACACUGA